GGGAAGAUGGCUCAGUGGUAGAGUGCUUGCCUUGUAUGCAUGAGGCCCUGGGUUUGAUUCCUCAGUACCA
rfam:Dipodomys ordii contig_4323, whole genome shotgun sequence.